GAUGAACGCUGGCGGCGUGCCUAAUACAUGCCAGUCGAGCGAACGGACGAGAAGCUUGCUUCUCUGAUGUUAGCGGCGGACGGGUGAGUAACACGUGGAUAACCUACCUAUAAGACUGGGAUAACUUCGGGAAACCGGAGCUAAUACCGGAUGAUAUUUUGAACCGCAUUGUUCAAAAGUGAAAGACGGUCUUGCUGUCACUUAUAGAUGGAUCCGCGCUGCAUUAGCUAGUUGGUAAGGUAACGGCUUACCAAGGCAACGAUGCAUAGCCGACCUGAGAGGGUGAUCGGCCACCCUGGAACUGAGACACGGUCCAGACUCCGGCGGGAGGCAGCAGUAGGGAAUCUUCCGCGAGGGGCGAAAGCGUGACGGAGCAACGCCGCGUGAGGGAUGAAGGUCUUCGGAUCGUAAAACUCUGUUAUUAGGGAAGAACAAAUGUGUAAGUAACUGUGCACAUCUUGACGGUACCUAAUCAGAAAGCCACGGCUAACUACGUG
rnacentral:rRNA from 1 species